rnacentral:rRNA from 1 species
AGAGUUUGAUCAUGGCUCAGGAUGAACGCUAGCGGCAGGCUUAACACAUGCAAGUCGUGGGGCAGCGCGGACUUCGGUCUGGCGGCGACCGGCAAACGGGUGCGGAACACGUACGCAACCUCCCUCAGAGCGGGGAAUAGCCUCUCGAAAGAGAGAUUAAUACCCCAUAGUAUCUUGAAGACACAUGUCUAUGAGAUUAAAGCUUCGGCACUUUGAGAUGGGCGUGCGGCUGAUUAGGUAGUUGGUAGGGUAACGGCCUACCAAGCCGACGAUCAGUAGCUGAUGUGAGAGCAUGAUCAGCCACACGGGCACUGAGACACGGGCCCGACUCCUACGGGAGGCAGCAGUGAGGAAUAUUGGUCAAUGGAGGAAACUCUGAACCAGCCAUGCCGCGUGGAGGAUGAAGGUCCUCUGGAUUGUAAACUCCUUUUAUAAAAGAAGAAACCCCAUUUUUCUAAAUGGGUUGGCGGUACUUUAUGAAUAAGCACCGGCUAACUCCGUG